UAUAUUUUAGUAUAUGAGGUAUUUAGGUUUUUGAUACCUAAGGAAGUAGUUUAAUUCUAUUAAAUAUAA
rnacentral:tRNA from 1 species